rnacentral:rRNA from 1 species
UGGGGAAUAUUGGACAAUGGGGGCAACCCUGAUCCAGCCAUGCCGCGUGAGUGAUGAAGGCCUUAGGGUUGUAAAGCUCUUUCACCCGGGACGAUAAUGACGGUACCGGGAGAAGAAGCCCCGGCUAACUUCGUGCCAGCAGCCGCGGUAAUACGAAGGGGGCUAGCGUUGUUCGGAAUCACUGGGCGUAAAGCGCACGUAGGCGGACCGUUAAGUCGGAGGUGAAAUCCUGGGGCUCAACCCCAGAACUGCCUUCGAUACUGGCGGUCUCGAGUCCGGAAGAGGUGAGUGGAACUGCCAGUGUAGAGGUGAAAUUCGUAGAUAUCGGCAAGAACACCAGUGGCGAAGGCGGCUCACUGGUCCGGUACUGACGCUGAGGUGCGAAAGCGUAGGGAGCAAACAGGAUUAGAUACCCUGGUAGUCCACGCCGUAAACGAUGAAUGCCAGCCGUCGGGCAGCAUGCUGUUCGGUGGCGCAGCUAACGCUUUAAGCAUUCCGCCUGGGGGAGUACGGUCGCAAGAUUAAAACUCAAAUGAAUUGAC